AGCGAACGCUGGCGGCAGGCUUAACACAUGCAAGUCGAACGCGCGUAGCAAUACGUGAGUGGCAGACGGGCGAGGAACACGUGGGAAUAUGCCCUUUGGUUCGGAAUAACUCAGGGAAACUUGAGCUAAUACCGGAUAUCUCCGAGAGGAGAAAGAUUUAUCGCCAAAGGAUUAGCCCGCGUCUGAUUAGCUAGUUGGUGAGGUAACGGCUCACCAAGGCGACGAUCAGUAGCUGGUCUGAGAGGAUGAUCAGCCGCACUGGGACUGAGACACGGCCCAGACUCCUACGGGAGGCAGCAGUGGGGAAUAUUGGACAAUGGGCGCAAGCCUGAUCCAGCCAUGCCGCGUGAGUGAUGAAGGCCUUAGGGUUGUAAAGCUCUUUUGUCCGGGAAGAUAAUGACUGUACCGGAAGAAUAAGCCCCGGCUAACUUCGUGCCAGCAGCCGCGGUAAU
rnacentral:rRNA from 1 species